rnacentral:rRNA from 1 species
AGGGUUUGAUUAUGGCUCAGGAUGAACGCUAGCGGGAGGCUUAACACAUGCAAGUCGAACGGUAACAGGUCCUUCGGGAUGCUGACGAGUGGCGCACGGGUGCGUAACGCGUAUGCAACUUUCCUUAUACAGGAGGAUAGCCCAGGGAAACUUGGAUUAAUACUCCAUAAUAUCAUCAGGUCGCAUGGCUUAAUGAUUAAAACUCCGGUGGUAUAAGAUGGGCAUGCGUAGGAUUAGCUAGUAGGUAGUGUAACGGACUACCUAGGCAACGAUCCUUAGGGGUUCUGAGAGGAUUAUCCCCCACACUGGUACUGAGACACGGACCAGACUCCUACGGGAGGCAGCAGUGAGGAAUAUUGGUCAAUGGACGAGAGUCUGAACCAGCCAUCCCGCGUGCAGGAUGACGGCCCUAUGGGUUGUAAACUGCUUUUCUACGCCAAGAACUCCCCCCACGCGUGGGGGGCUGCCGGUAGCGUAGGAAUAAGCAUCGGCUAACUCCGUGCCAGCAGCCGCGGUAAUACGGAGGAUGCAAGCGUUAUCCGGAUUCAUUGGAUUUAAAGGGUGCGCAGGCGGGCUUGUAAGUCAGUGGUGAAAUACUGCCGCUUAACGGUAGAAUUGCCAUUGAUACUGCAGGUCUUGAGUAUGGUUGAGGUAGGCGGAAUGUGCAGUGUAGCGGUGAAAUGCAUAGAGAUUGCACAGAACACCGAUUGCGGAGGCAGCUUACUAAGCCAUAACUGACGCUGAGGCACGAAAGCGUGGGGAGCGAACAGGAUUAGAUACCCUGGUAGUCCACGCUGUAAACGAUGUUCACUCGCUGUUUGCGAUACACAGUAAGCGGCUGAGCGAAAGCAUUAAGUGAACCACCUGGGGAGUACGAUCGCAAGGUUGAAACUCAAAGGAAUUGACGGGGGCCCGCACAAGCGGAGGAACAUGUGGUUUAAUUCGAUGAUAAGCGAGGAACCUUACCUGGACUUGACAUCCCGAGAAUUUCCCCGAAAAGGGAAAGUGCCGCAAGGAACUCGGUGACAGGUGCUGCAUGGUUGUCGUCAGCUCGUGCCUUGAGGUGUUCGGUUAAGUCCGUGAACGAGCGCAACCCUUGUCCUGUGUUGUAUUUUCACAGGAGACUGCCGGCUUUAAGUCGGAGGAAGGUAAGGAUGACGUCAAAUCAGCAUGGCCCUUAUGUCCAGGGCUACACACGUGCUACAAUGGCAGGUACAAUAGGCAGCAAACCCGCGAGGGGGAGCCAAUCCUCAAAAACCUGUCCUAAGUUCGAAUUGAUGGCUGCAACUCGCCAUCAUGAAGUUGGAAUCGCUAGUAACCGCGUAUCAGCCAUGACGCGGUGAAUAUGUUCCUGGGUCUUGUACUCACCGCCCGUCACGUCAUGAAAGGUGGAGGCACCCGAAGUACCGUUAUCAUUUAUGAGCGGUCCUAAGGUGAAACCACUGAUUGGGACGAAGUCGUAACAAGGUAGCC